rnacentral:rRNA from 1 species
CCUACGGGUGACAGCAGUAGGGAAUCUUUCACAAUGGGCGAAAGCCUGAUGGAGCAACGCCGCGUGCAGGAUGAAGGCCUUCGGGUUGUAAACUGCUUUUAUAAGCGAGAAAUAUGAUGGUAACUUAUGAAUAAGGAUCGGCUAACUACGUGCCAGCAGCCGCGGUCAUACGUAGGAUCCGAGCAUUAUCCGGAGUGACUGGGUGUAAAGAGUUGCGUAGGUGGCAUAAUAAGUAGCUAGUGAAAUCUGGUGGCUCAACCAUUCAGACUAUUAGCUAAACUGUUAAGCUCGAGACCGUUAGGGGUAACUGGAAUUACUAGUGUAGGAGUGAAAUCCGUAGAUAUUAGAAGGAACACCAAUAGCGUAGGCAGGUUGCUGGGACGGUUCUGACACUAAGGCACGAAAGCGUAGGGAGCAAACGGGAUUAGAUACCCGAGUAGUC